AUCUCAUGCCACGCCUCACUUUCCCUUCUCAAAUCUGCAGCAAUCGAGUGGGUCUCAGUUGUUGACUUAUUUUAAGGACCGUAGAUCAACCUCCCUUCACUUUCCCCCUUCUGCUGUGUGGUCCGGUAGUAUGUUGCUGUGGUAAAAAGCGAUGAUGGUUCCCCUAAUUUGGGUUAUAAUUUCAAUCUGAGCAUAUGUCCAUGUCAACGAUGCCGUUUUGUUAAUUUGGAAAUGAUGUAAUAUUGGUUGGAAAGUUGCUGUUAUUUGGCCUCCAUAGCUCAUCUAGCUGGUGGUAA